GUGUCAGCAGCCGCGGUAAUACGGAGGAGGCAAGCGUUAUCCGGAAUUAUUGGGCGUAAAGCGUCCGCAGGUGGCUCGCUCAAGUCUGCUGUCAAAGACCGGGGCUUAACUCCGGAAAGGCAGUGGAAACUGAACAGCUAGAGUACGGUAGGGGCAGAGGGAAUUCCCAGUGUAGCGGUGAAAUGCGUAGAGAUUGGGAAGAACACCGGUGGCGAAAGCGCUCUGCUAGGCCGAAACUGACACUGAGGGACGAAAGCUAGGGGAGCGAAAGGGAUUAGAUACCCCUGUAGUCCUAGCUGUAAACGAUGGAGACUAGGUGUGGCCUGUAUCGACCCGGGCCGUGCCGGAGCUAACGCGUUAAGUCUCCCGCCUGGGGAGUAUGGUCGCAAGGCUGAAACUUAAAUGAAUUGGCGGGG
rnacentral:rRNA from 1 species